GGAGAGGUGUGUGAGUGGUUGAAACAGUCGGUCUUGAAAACCGAUGUGCGGGAAACCGUACCGGGGGUUCGAAUCCCUCCCUCUCCGCCA
rnacentral:tRNA from 1 species